GACGGGACCGCACAAGCGGUGGAUGAUGUGGAUAAUUCGAUACAACGACGAAAACCUUACCUACCCUUGACAUGUCCGGAAUCCUGGAGAGAUUUGGGAGUGCUCGCAAGAGAACCGGAACACAGGUGCUGCAUGGCUGUCGUCAGCUCGUGUCGUGAGAUGUUGGGUUAAGUCCCGCAACGAGCGCAACCCUUGUCAUUAGUUGCCACCAUUCAGUUGGGCACUCUAAUGAGACUGCCGGUGACAAACCGAAGGAAGGUGGGGAUGACGUCAAGUCCUCAUGGCCCUUAUGGGUAGGGCUUCACACGUCAUACAAUGGUCGGUACAGAGGGUCGCCAACCCGCGAGGGGGAGCCAAUCCCACAAAGCCGAUCGUAGUCCGGAUUGGAGUCUGCAACUCGACUCCAUGAAGUCGGAAUCGCUAGUAAUCGUGGAUCAGCAUGUCACGGUGAAUACGUUCCCGGGUCUU
rnacentral:rRNA from 1 species